rnacentral:lncRNA from 1 species
AUGAUUUUCUACCAUUCCUCUGAUGGCACAGCUUGCAUGUGGAAACCAGGCCCUCACCAUGUGAUCCUACCUUGUUCAGUUUGGAAAAUAACUCAUAAGAAAGCUAAUUUAAAAAAAAAAAAAAACAGCAGUUUCCUUAAGGCCCCAGAUGGAAUGUCUUCUCAGAAGCAAAGCAUAUUCAUUGCAGAAGAAAAUAAUGAAAUACAGAUCAGUGAAAACAAGAGAAACAUCCAUAAUUCACCCUAUCAAAGACAUCCAUUGUCAUCUUCCAGACUCUUUGUUGUGAAGCGGUCUAGAAGCCUCAGUGGUGAUGUUCCCUGCAAGAAGCUCCGAGUAUGGGAGUUCCUUUCGAGCACCCCAUUCAACCUCACCAUUGCUUUUGUAGCGAAACCAUGUUUGCUGGAACACAGGUGUUAAAAUUCUGUCUUCUUUUACACAGAGGUAAAAGCUUUUGCAAGAUCAUAGCAAGGGUAUUAAUAUUAAUAAUAAUAGUAAUAAGGAUAAGAAGGCAAAGGAGGCGAGGUGGGAAAAAGUUGAAGGACAACCCAGCAAUACAAAGCAAAUCAACAAUACAAUACAAAGCAAUACAAUACAAAUCAAAUCAGCCCUUCUCAUCCUGUUGACAAUUCACCAGUUGCACAAACACUUCUUGCCAGUAUCUAUAUGGGUUAUGCCAACUGACUAAUCUUAAUGGGAAAUAAUGCUUUUUAUAAACCCUUUCUAAUAAAUCUGCUUUCAAGCAGAAGAUCCUCAGAUAUGCUGACCCCCUCAUAUAGUUCUGAGAGGUGAUAUAGAGAUGGAAUCAUAAUCCCAUCAAUGAUAAUCCCAUGGUGAAUUAUUUUGUGAAGAGUAGAAUCUUUUUUUCCUAUUUGAAGACUCUACCACUCACUUUUGAUGUUUCAGUUUGGAUUUCCAUGUAUUUGGUUGUCCCAAAGUAGGAGCCCUAAACUGACAUAUGACCAUCUGUUGUGAUCACAGGGCCCAUCUCCAUUCAUGCUGCUCCCAAAGUACAGGACAGUGAUAUGCCUCUGAUUGUCUCCAGAAAGGCCACUUUAAAUGUGUUUGGCUAUGCCACCAGACAGCAUGGCACACACAUCCUUGGGAUCACAGAUAUUGGGGAAAGAAGAGCUACUUCCCCCAAAAAAGAUUUGUUGGCAUCUCAGCUCAUGAUCCCUCUCUUCUUUUCUCUGUCUGAAUCCUGAAACUUAAAACAAGGUUUACUAUUUAGCCAUUCCUCGAGUAAAUUGCAAAGACCCUACCAUACCUUUGGGCUUCCAUUUUUCUGUUUGACAUCCUUAUUUAUCUAGUUCCAUCUGUGCCUAUAUUCUACUGAGGCUGCAUGUGUGAGGGAGGGAGGGAGGGAGAGAGAGAGAGAGAGAGAGAGAGAGAGAGAGAGAAGUGUGUGUGCAUGCAUGAGUGCACAUGUGUACCCACAUGUAUCUGUGAAUGUGAUGUUUGUGUGUUUCUCUGUAUCCCUUUCCAUUCCUCCCCUAAAUGGCCAUACCAAGAUCGCCUCCCUACUCCUACAAUACAAAGCAAAUACUGAAGCUAGUGAGAGUAUCUAUAUAUGGAGCUUAUUAUGUGUCAGGCAACUCAUUCUCUUUAUAUAUUUUAACUAAUUUAAUCAUCAUAAUAACCCUAUCAAGCUGGUGCUAUUAGCCCCUUUUUACAUAAAAGGCACUGAUACAGAAACUCUUGCAAAUAAAUCCAGGGAAAUGAAAUAAACUGUCCCUGAAAUGCACUCUGUCUUUAGGCCCCCGCGUUUUAGUGUGCGUGAGUGUGGGUGUGAGAUAUGUGCAGACAGAGAGACAGACAGAGAAUAGAGAGUACCUAUGCAAGAAGGUUUGGACAAAGUCCUGUAAAUAAUAAUUCCUCUUUCUACUCCACUGGACACUUCCUAGGUCUUCAUUAGCCUGAGUUACCUUUCCUUCCUUCCUCUAACCCAUUCGACCAGAAGGGACAACAGUGCCGAGCUAAUCUGUUCACAGAGCAUAGGACAGCCUUGGCACCCAGUAAUCAAUCACGUGAAAGUGUUCCUGACACUUCUCUUCCCAGACUCAAGACUGAAACUUGGCAGGCUGGUUGCUGCCUGGCGAGCCACAGGUCUCCACGGUACAUGACUGCCACCUAGAGCUCACACAUAGGAACAGAUUCUGGAUGCAGCAAAACCGAGAACAAAGAAAACCAAAAAGUGACCCCAAAUCUGUCCUAAAGCAAGAUAAUUUGGUCUGAUCAGCUUUUAGAUAAAUCAUAUAAUAGGUCCUAAAAUUAAAUUCCUUUGCUCAAGAUGUCACAUUUCUGAAAAGUGUGCUCUCAUCCAAUAAAAUUGUUAAAAUUAAAAAAGCUCAAGUUUGGCCGUUUUCAAAAUAAGGAAGAAGGGGAAAGAGAGACAGAGACAGAGGGAGAUAACAUGCUUCAAAAAACAAGCCUUUGUGUUUGUGUCCAUCAUCAUCAUCAUCAUCAUCUCACAGCUGAACAAAUUGAAGACCCAAAAGGUAUCGGAUUUCUCUUGGUUCCAUAGCUAGUAAGUGGUGCUGGCAAGAUUGGAAUGCAGGUUUUGUCUGGUCUUUUAUUCCAAAAUGAACUAAUCACAUAGAAGCAAUAUAAAACUUAAAAUUUCUUCCCAAAACAUGGUGGGCGGCCUUUCAACUGCUUCCCUGGCUCCCGCCACACUCCCAGGAGGGAUAUGCCAGUGUGCUGUUCUGUUCAAAGAUCACCAGUUAAGACCUGGUGGAUUUGAGGUCGGCUCCCCGGGAGGGUUGGCUUUGCACUGCUCUGUGUGCACCCUCCCCCAGCAGCACACACCUGUCAGAUGGUGGCUGACUUGGGGGGGGUGGAAUCUGUGAUGGGAGAAUGGGUGAAGAGGCCCAUAUACAAGGGAAAUGGCCACAGAAAAGGCCCCACUAACACCCUGUUCAAAAGAACCUCUUCUCAACCUGGCAGGCAGGAGGAAGUUGUCCUUCAGAAGAGGAGCUGUGACCCAGAUGGAGGCCUGACAGGAAGGGGAGUGUCCUCAGGCAAGGACUUUGUGGUGUAUCUUGUGCCAUGGACCCCUCUGGGAAGUCUGUGGACCCAUCCAUAGAAGAACACUUCCAAAUACAUAAAAAGAAGCACACAGGAUUGUAAAGGAAACCAAUUUUGAGUAAAGAAGUUAUUAAAUUCUUUUAAAGUGUGCGAUUUUGUAUUGCAUCUGUGUCUCAGUCUGCUAGGGCGGCCGUAACAAAAUCCCACAGGCUCAAACAACAGACACGAAUUGCUUGAAGUCCUGAAGUCCUGAAGUCCGGGAAGAAGCUGACAGCAGCUUCCAUUGUGGGGGAAGGCCUGCCUCCAGGCUUGCAGAUGGCUGCCUUUGCCAUAUCCUCACAUGGUAGAGAGAGCUCUGGUGUCUCUUCUUCUUUUUAAAAAGAUUUUAUUUAUUUAUUCAUGAGAGACACAGAGAGAGGCAGAGACAUAGGCAGAGGGAGACGCAGGGAGCCUGAUGUGGGACUUGAUCCCAGGACCCCGGAAUCACAACCUGAGCCAAAGGCAGACGCUCAACCUCUGAGCCACCCAGGUGCCCCUGUUCUCAUUUUUAAGGACACCGGUCUUAUCAUGAGGGCUCCACCUUUAUGACUUCAUCUAAAUCUAAUCACCUCCCCAAAGCCCCACCUUCUAAUACCAUCACUUUAGGGGUUAGAACUUCAACAUAGAAAUUUGGAGUGUGUGUGGGGGGGACACAAACAGUUCAUAACAGUGUUAACUUCUUAUUGAUGCUUUAAACAACA